AUGGAGCACCGACAAGGCAGGGAUGACCAUGAAGGGGUGCAGGUUGUUGGAUUUGAAGUCCCAUCAUCACCAGACUCAAGCUACAGCAACCCUAUCCCUGGAAACAAAGACGAAGCUCGAGAGCCCCCAUUGGUUCCUCCUCACCUACAGCAUAUACUGCUGAGCUUCCCGCCGAGCCAUGACGACGGGAGAAGCCUCCAUCUGCCCUCACCUACUCUAUAUUGCAGCUUGCAGCAUCCGAUGAGAAACCAAGGUCUGCAUCAUGGAGGUCUAAAUGUUAGAGAUAGAUCCUUGGUCGAGGAACUCUUUUCAAACAACAAGAUUCAGGUAUUGAUAUGCACUAGCACACUGGCUUGGGGUGUCAAUCUUCCAUCUCACCUUUUCAUAAUCAAGGGUACUGAAUACUAUGGUGAGAAAACAAAAAGAUAUGUUGAUUAUGUUAUCACAGAUAUUCUGCAAAUGAUGGGUCGUGCAGGCCGACCACAGUAUGACCAACAUGGCAAAGUUGUUAUUCUUGUUCAUGAACCACAGCUUUUAUAA
rnacentral:rRNA from 1 species